CGAGGAAGCUCCGGGGGAGAGAGCCGCGUCCACACCUCUUUCCAGACUAUGAUGGGGCCCAGAGACCCCUCCCCUCCGACUGAGCCCCAGAGACCCCCUACUCAGGCCAGAAGGGGAAAGCCGAGCUCCUGCUUGCCCAGGCAUCAGAAUUCCUCAGGGAGGAAAAGUUGCCUAUCUGUUGGGUCAGAUUUCUGAAGACUGAUGAGGCCCAUUUUCUGACAAAUGGCAAGAGUUUACAAAGUACCAGUGACGUGCCUGAUAGAAUCUCCCCACAAGAUGGAAGCCAACUCAUCAGAAGCCUGGAAAGCCCGCCCAGCGUGGGACCUCUGUGGGUCCAGGAUCUUGGAAUGGCAUCCCAUGGUUUAAUCUUCCAGAUUCAACCAAAUAAAUUUACCCCACCAUGUCAUGGACCCAAGCUUCCUACCAUGUAUCCUUAGCUUAAAUG
rnacentral:lncRNA from 1 species